rnacentral:rRNA from 1 species
CGCAGCCAGCUGCGAGAUUUGGUGUGAAUUGCAGGACACAUUGAGCACUGAUUUUUCGAACGCACAUUGCGGCCUCGGGUCCUGCCCGGGGCCUCGCCUGUCUGAGGGUCGGAUAAGACUUGCCUAGGAGGUCUCGGCUUUUCUCAAAGAGAGGGCCGAGCCUUCAAUUGGCCGCACCGGACGCCGUCAAGGCGUUCGCCGGCUCAAGUACUCGGAAGGAUCUCGAUUCGCUCGCACACGGGCAGCAGCCACCUAGUUGGAAGCUCGUCGAGUGGAGGAAGACGGAUGUUCUUCUCCCGAGGACGAGACGUGGCUUCAAGCAGGCUGCCCUGCACACGGCGAGCGCGGUCGCAGGUCCCGUCGCAGCCCCGAUCCGCCACGGACGGGACGCGAUCAAAACCUAAAUUCUUUUGUCGACCUCAGAUCAGACGAGAUGACCCGCUGAAUUUAAGCAUAUC